ACUUUUACUCAUGGUGGAAGGCAAAGUAGGAGCAGCUCCUCCAUUAACCCCUGCAGAGUAUUCACUGACUGCUGAAACUAGAGCAUCACUGAGAAGCAAGAGAUAGACUGACCUAACUAGAGGGAGAGCUGCCGUCCAGGAUGAUGCCACCAUGACAGGAGGUGAGAAGGAACACAGCAUCUUCUGCAAAUGCUACAGUAAAUAGGGACGGGGUGCAGCAAUGUGAGGAAAGUGGAAUGAACUUGGACUUUGAAGGCAAACUAACCUGGAAUCAAAUACUGGCUCUGCUGUUUGCAAGUGUGAUCUUUGGGUGUGCUUCCUAAUCUGUGAGCUUCAACUUCCUUCUCUGUAAACCAAGAUCAAAGACAAACAGGGAAACCUACUUGUCUGGUGCCCAUCCCCUUGGCAGAACACUCCUCUGAAGGAUGACAGUUUGGCUGUGCCAGGGCAGAGCUGCCCACACCAAAUAAGCCUUCAUAGCA
rnacentral:lncRNA from 1 species